CGAGCGGUAAGGCCUUUCGGGGUACACGAGCGGCGAACGGGUGAGUAACACGUGGGUGACCUGCCCUCCACUCUGGGAUAAGCCUGGGAAACUGGGUCUAAUACCGGAUAUGACGCAUUCCUGCAUGGGGUUGCGUGGAAAGUUUUUUCGGUGGGGGAUGGGCCCGCGGCCUAUCAGCUUGUUGGUGGGGUGAUGGCCCACCAAGGCGACGACGGGUAGCCGGCCUGAGAGGGCGACCGGCCACACUGGGACUGAGACACGGCCCAGACUCCUACGGGAGGCAGCAGUGGGGAAUAUUGCGCAAUGGGCGGAAGCCUGACGCAGCGACGCCGCGUGGGGGAUGACGGCCUUCGGGUUGUAAACCUCUUUCGCCAGGGACGAAGCGCAAGUGACGGUACCUGGAUAAGAAGCACCGGCCAACUACGUGCCAGCAGCCGCGGUAACACGUAGGGUGCGAGCGUUGUCCGGAAUUAUUGGGCGUAAAGAGCUCGUAGGCGGUCUGUCGCGUCGGUCGUGAAAACUUGGGGCUUAACCCUGAGCUUGCGGUCGAUACGGGCAUGACUGGAGUUCGGCAGGGGAGACUGGAAUUCCUGGUGUAGCGGUGAAAUGCGCAGAUAUCAGGAGGAACACCGGUGGCGAAGGCGGGUCUCUGGGCCGAUACUGACGCUGAGGAGCGAAAGCGUGGGGAGCGAACAGGAUUAGAUACCCUGGUAGUCCACGCCGUAAACGGUGGGCGCUAGGUGUGGGGGCCAUUCCACGGUCUCUGUGCCGCAGCUAACGCAUUAAGCGCCCCGCCUGGGGAGUACGGCCGCAAGGCUAAAACUCAAAGGAAUUGACGGGGGCCCGCACAAGCGGCGGAGCAUGUGGAUUAAUUCGAUGCAACGCGAAGAACCUUACCUGGGUUUGACAUGCACCAGACAUCCCUAGAGAUAGGGCUUCCCUUGUGGUUGGUGUGCAGGUGGUGCAUGGUUGUCGUCAGCUCGUGUCGUGAGAUGUUGGGUUAAGUCCCGCAACGAGCGCAACCCUUGUUCCAUGUUGCCAGCGCGUUAUGGCGGGGACUCAUGGGAGACUGCCGGGGUCAACUCGGAGGAAGGUGGGGAUGACGUCAAAUCAUCAUGCCCCUUAUGUCCAGGGCUUCACACAUGCUACAAUGGCCAGUACAGAGGGCUGCGAGACCGUGAGGUGGAGCGAAUCUCUUAAAGCUGGUCUCAGUUCGGAUUGGGGUCUGCAACUCGACCCCAUGAAGUUGGAGUCGCUAGUAAUCGCAGAUC
rnacentral:rRNA from 1 species